GGUCACUUAAUUUAUUAAUCAAAAAUUCACAAAAUUAAAAUUUACAAAAUAUCAUGAUAAAGAUAUCGAAAUUUACAGUUUCAAUAUCGUUGCAGACCCCUACCAAUUUACAAAUUCAAAAUUUAAUUGUGUGUAUGUGUUAAUUGUUAUAGCAUUAUUAGGAUUAUGGAUAAUAUAUAUCUAUAGACUUUGAAUAUUAUUUUUAUUUUUUUUUAUUGAAGAACAUCCUUAUAGACCACGUUGGUCAUUCUUCCAUUAGGGGCAAGGAUGAUUAAGCUGCUAGGUGAACUAACUAGAUAUUGAUGAGUGAGUAAGUGUAUUAGAUAUCUUACUUUAUAUAUAUAUUUGGCCAUGUAUUAGGUUAUUGAUUUUUCCCAAGCCCGUUCCCUUUUAAUAGUUUUUGUCCGUGACAACCAAAUUAAGUAAGGUAAACCAUGAAUAAACAAAAAUAAAUAAACAAGCAAUAUAAGAUAUUCGUAUCAAAAAUACCUGAAAACCCUUAUUUUACCUUAGGGGUAGAAUUUUCAAAAAUCCUUUUUUAGCGAAUACCUUCUUUAUAAUAGCUACAUUUCAGCCCAAUCCGUCCAGUAAUUUAAGCUAAGUGAUGAUGAAUAUAAUAUUACCCCAUUUUAUUCUUUUAGGAGUUGAAUUUUGAAAAAUCUUUUUUUAGUGUGUGGCUACAUUGCGAACCUCUAUGCAAAAUUUAAGUUUCUAGACCCAGCUAUUUGGGUCUGGGCAUUGAUGAGUGAGUGAGUGAGUGUAUCAGACUUCUUACUUUAUAUACAUUGAUAUAUUAUGUACAAUGUACACCUACUGUAUACAGAAUUUAAUUAAAAUAAAUAAUAUUCUGAAAAUCUAAAUAGAAGUCGAUUACCCAAGUCGAGACUUAAAAUUUUGAAUGUUGCUCACUAGUUAGAAAAGGUUAGCAACCCAUAUCUUAAAAUAUUUUAAAGUACAUAUACUUUGAAAGAUUUUUACUGUCUUAAUUCAUAAUUAUUUGUUAAUUAAUAGUUAUAGUUAUUAUAAUAAAAUAUAUCAUUGGAUUGUUUUGUAUACUAAAUGUUCAAUG